rnacentral:rRNA from 1 species
AGAAUCAACGCUGGCGGCGUGCCUAACACAUGCAAGUCGUACGAGAAAGUGGAGCAAUCCAUGAGUAAAGUGGCGACCGGGUGAGUAACACGUGACUACCUGCCCUCGAGUGUGGAAUAACUCCGGGAAACCGGGGCUAAUACCGCAUAACAUCGCAAGAUCAAAGCAGUAAUGCGCUUGAGGAGGGGGUCGCGGCUGAUUAGCUAGUUGGUAAGGUAACGGCUUACCAAGGCGAAGAUCGGUAUCCGGCCUGAGAGGGCGCGCGGACACACUGGAACUGAAACACGGCCCAGACUCCUACGGGAGGCAGCAGUGGGGAAUUUUGCGCAAUGGGGGAAACCCUGACGCAGCAACGCCGCGUGGAGGAUGAAGCCCUUUGGGGCGUAAACUCCUUUCGACUGGGAAGAUAAUGACGGUACCAGUGGAAGAAGCACCGGCUAACUCUGUGCCAGCAGCCGCGGUAAUACAGAGGGUGCGAGCGUUGUUCGGAAUUAUUGGGCGUAAAGGGCGCGUAGGCGGUGCGGUAAGUCACCUGUGAAAUCCCCGGGCUUAACUCGGGGCCUGCAGGCGAAACUGCCGUGCUGGAGGGUGGGAGAGGCGCGUGGAAUUCCCGGUGUAGCGGUGAAAUGCGUAGAUAUCGGAAGGAACACCUGUGGCGAAAGCGGCUCACUGGACCAUAACUGACGCUGAUGCACGAAAGCUAGGGGAGCAAACAGGAUUAGAUACCCUGGUAGUCCUAGCCCUAAACGAUGAUUGCUUGGUGUGGCAGGUACCCAAUCCUGCCGUGCCGAAGCUAACGCGAUAAGCAAUCCGCCUGGGGAGUACGGUCGCAAGGCUGAA